rnacentral:lncRNA from 1 species
AGGCAUUGAUCCGACACCUCACCUUUCUACUGAGAUUUCCAAAGCACUGGCACGACCCAUACCCUGCAUGUGAUUGUCAACCACAGAUAUAAGAGCAGCUGAGGAUGGAAAAAAAAUCAUUAUAUCCAUGAUCUGUGUUUACAUCUCCAAAAUCAAACACCCGCAUAGUGCAGCCAUUGAAAACAGACUGGAAAAAGAAAGGACAUGGGGUCACAUGAUAUUUUAACAGCAUUAAGAUCCAGGCCUUGGGUAUACCUUCUGAGGGUGAGAGGGUGCAUUCUUUACUCACUAAGUACCCAGCUAGAGACCUAAAGUCUACAGGCUUCAGCAGGAAUUUCAGUCUAGCCAAGCCAUUCAAAUGAUGUGUAGAAAGAGCAUCAGUGAAAGAAGUAAACAUUCUGGCAUCUCUGAGUUUUAGUCAAUAUUUUUAUGGACCUGAUUGCUAUAACCUCAUAAUGAAAAAACCAUAAAUACCCUAGAAGAAAACCUAGGCAAUAACAUUCAGGACAUAGGCAUGGGCAAGGACUUCAUGUCUAAAACACCAAAAGCAAUGGCAACAAAAGCCAAAAUUGACAAAUGGGAUCUAAUUAAACUAAAGAGCUUCUGCACAGCAAAAGAAAAAAUCAUCAGAGUGAACAGGCAACCUACAGAAUGGGAGCAAAUUUUUUCAGUCUACUCAUCUGACAAAGGGCUAAUAUCCAGAAUCUACAAUGAACUCAAAUAAAUUUACAAGAAAAAAUCUAACAACCUCAUCAAAAAGUGGGCAAAGGAUAUGAACAGACACUUCUCAAAAGAAGACAUUUAUGCAGCCAAAGGCACAUGAAAAAAUGCUCAUCAUCACUGGCCAUCAGAGAAAUGUAAAUCAAAACCACAAUGAGAUACCAUCUCACACCAGUUAGAACGGUGAUCAUUAAAAAGUCAGGAAACAACAGGUGCUGGAGAGGAUGUGGAGAAAUAGGAACACUUUUACACUGUUGGUGGGACUGUAAACUAGUUCAACCCUUGUGGAAGUCAGUGUGGCGAUACCUCAGGGAUCUAGAACUAGAAAUACCAUUUGACCCAGCCAUCCCAUUACUGGGUAUAUACCCAAAGGAUUAUAAAACAUGCUGCUAUAAAGACACAUGCACAUGUAUGUUUAUUGAGGCACUAUUCACAAUAACAAAGACUUGGAACCAACCCAAAUGUCCAUCAAUGAUAGACUGGAUUAAGAAAAUGUGGCACAUAUACACCAUGGAAUACUAUGCAGCCACAAAAAAUGAUGAGUUCAUGUCCUUUGUAGGGACAUGGAUGAAGCUGGAAGCCAUCAUUCUCAGCAAACUGUCGCAAGGACAAAAAACCAAACACCACAUGUUCUCAGUCAUAGGUGGGAAUUGGACAAUGAGAACACAUGGACACAGGAAGGGGAACAUCACAAACCAGGGCCUGUUGUGGGGUGGGGGGAUGGGGGAAGGAUAGCAUUAGGAGAUAUACCUAAGGUUAAAUGAUGAGUUAAUGGGUGCAGCACACCAACAUGGCACAUGUAUACAUAUGUAACUAACCUGCACGUUGUGCACAUGAACCCUAAAGCUUAAAGUAUAAUAAAAAACUUUAAAAAAAGAAUAUUUUACAUAAGCAGGGUCAAAGAGUCAAAAUAGGAUCUGCCUAUGUAGCCUCAAGUUUCUUUUUAUGGACAAGGAGUAAAGGCUCAACUGCUUUAAAGUAUUGAACCAGAAGCCUCCAAUUUCCAGCUCAAUGAUGGUUGCUUGGGAAAAGCAAUGCACAUUUUAGGUUUAAAAUCACUGUUCAAACAACUGAUCCUUCCCUUCAGCCAACAGAUCUUUGUUGAGCAUAUACCAUGUGCCUGCUACUGUUCUGGGAUUUAAAGAUACGUCAGUAAACAAAACAGACAAAAAUCUCUGCCUUCAUGGAGCAAAAAAUGUCGUGUAUUGAUUUGAUAAAAACAUCCCCACCCUCAAAUAU